UACGUAGGGAGUGAGCGUUGUCCGGAUUUACUGGGUGUAAAGGGUGCGUAGGCGGCUAAGCAAGUCAGGCGUGAAAUAUAUAGGCUUAACCUAUAGACUGCGUUUGAAACUGCAUAGCUUGAGUGGAGUAGAGGCAGAUGGAAUUUCCAGUGUAGCGGUGAAAUGCGUAGAUAUUGGAAGGAACACCAGUGGCGAAGGCGAUCUGCUGGGCUCUAACUGACGCUGAGGCACGAAAGCAUGGGUAGCAAACA
rnacentral:rRNA from 1 species